GUCUCGGUAGUAUAGUGGUUCGUAUGCUCGCUUGUGGUGUAAACCCAGCUCGCGAUUGACGUCAGUUCGAUUCUGGCCCGGGACA